CGGUCAAGUUUUUAAGAGCAUAGGGUGAAUGCCUUGGCACUAGAAGCCGAUGAAGGACGGGGUAAGCGCCGAUACGUCUCGGGGAGCCGCAAGCAGGCUUUGAUCCGGGAAUUUCCGAAUGGGGAAACCCACCUAAAUAAACUUUAGGUAUCAAUUACUGAAUACAUAGGUAAUUGAGGGAACACUGGGAGAACUGAAACAUCUAAGUACCCCAAGGAAGAGAAAGAAAAAUCGAUUCCCUUAGUAGCGGCGAGCGAAAUGGGAAAAGCCCAAACCAGUAAGGGUUUCCUUUACUGGGGUUGUGGACAUUGCCGUUAAGAAAAGAAUCGAGUAAUCGAAGGGUCUGGAAAGAUCCACCAUAGAAGGUGAAAGUCCUGUAGAUGAAGCUCAUAUUCUUUUUGGUUUUGUUCCAGAGUACCACGGAACACGAGAAACUCUGUGGGAAGCUGGGGGGACCACCCCCCAAGGCUAAAUACUUUCUAGUGACCGAUAGCGUAUAGUACCGUGAGGGAAUGGUGAAAAGAACCCCGGAAGGGGAGUGAAAUAGAACCUGAAACCCUAUGUUUACAAGCAGUGGAAGCUCUUUUUACGAGCGACCGCGUACUUUUUGUAGAACGGGCCAACGAGUUACGAUAUAUAGCAAGGUUAAGGACUUAAGGUCUGAAGCCGUAGGGAAACCAAGUCUUAAUAGGGCGACUAAGUUAUAUGUCGUAGACCCGAAACCGGGUGACCUAUCCAUGGGCAGGAUGAAGCGGAAGUAAAAUUUCGUGGAGGUCCGAACCGUUUAGCGUUGAAAAGCUAUCGGAUGACCUGUGGAUAGCGGUGAAAUUCCAAUCGAACCCGGAGAUAGCUGGUUCUCCUCGAAAUAGCUUUAGGGCUAGCCUUAAGAUUAGUGACGUGGAGGUAGAGCACUGAAUGGCUAAGGGGCACUUUGUGUUACUAAAGCCUAUCAAACUCCGAAUGCCAUAGUCAUAUUCUUAGGAGUCAGACUGCGGGUGAUAAGAUUCGUAGUCGAAAGGGAAACAGCCCAGACCGUCAGCUAAGGUCCCAAAGUGUAAGUUAAGUGGAAAAGGAUGUAAGACUACACAGACAACCAGGAUGUUGGCUUAGAAGCAGCCAUUCAUUUAAAGAGUGCGUAAUAGCUCACUGGUCGAGUGGUUUUGCGCCGAAAAUGUCCGGGGCUCAAACUUACCACCGAAGCUACGGAACGCUUUAUGCGUUGGUAGAGGAGCAUUGUAUAUGGAUUGAAGUUACACCGGAAGGAGUAGUGGACUAUAUACAAGAGAGAAUGUUGGCAUGAGUAGCGAAAGGAAGGUGAGAAUCCUUCCCAUCGAAAGCCCAAGGUUUCCUGAGGAAGGCUCGUCCUCUCAGGGUUAGUCGGGGCCUAAGCCGAGGCGAUAUGCGUAGGCGAUGGAUAACAGGUUGAGAUUCCUGUACUACCUCUUUGCGUUUGAGAGAUGGGGUGACACAGUAGGAUAUGUUAUCACACCGUUGGUUUGGUGUGUCUAAGUAAGUAGGGAGUUUUAGUAGGUAAAUCCGCUAAAACAAUUCUGAGAUACGAAUGGGAGCGAAAUUUAAGUAGCGAACUAACUGAUUCCACACUGUCAAGAAAAGCCUCUAUCGAGUAAAUAGGUACCCGUACCGUAAACCGACACAGGUAGGCGAGAUGAAAAUUCUAAGAUGAGCGAGAUAACCAUUGUUAAGGAACUCGGCAAAAUGACCCCGUAACUUCGGGAGAAGGGGUGCCGGAUAAGGUGAUAAGAUUUACUCUUAAAGCCUAGUCCGGCCGCAGAGAAUAGGCCCAAGCGACUGUUUAGCAAAAACACAGGUCUCUGCUAAGUUGAAAGACGAAGUAUAGGGGCUGACACCUGCCCGGUGCUGGAAGGUUAAUGGGACUGCUUAGGAGUAAUCCGAAGGCAUGAACUUAAGCCCCAGUGAACGGCGGCCGUAACUAUAACGGUCCUAAGGUAGCGAAAUUCCUUGUCGGGUAAGUUCCGACCCGCACGAAAGGUGUAACGAUUUGGGCACUGUCUCAACAAUGGACUCGGUGAAAUUGUAGUACCAGUGAAGAUGCUGGUUACCCGCGGCAGGACGGAAAGACCCCGUGGAGCUUUACUGCAAGCUGACAUUGGAUUUUGGUAUUAUUUGUACAGGAUAGGUGGGAGACUUGGAAGUCAGGGCGCUAGCCUUGAUGGAGUCAUCCUUGGGAUACCACUCUUGUAAUACUAAAAUUCUAACCACAGACCGUGAAUCCGGUCUUGGGACACUGUCAGUUGGGCAGUUUGACUGGGGCGGUCGCCUCCUAAAAGGUAACGGAGGCGCUCAAAGGUUCCCUCAGCACGGUCGGAAAUCGUGCGAAGAGUGUAAAGGCAUAAGGGAGCUUGACUGCGAGAGAUACAUCUCGAGCAGGAACGAAAGUUGGACUUAGUGAUCCGGUGGUUCCGAGUGGAAGGGCCAUCGCUCAACGGAUAAAAGCUACCCCGGGGAUAACAGGCUUAUCUCCCCCAAGAGUCCACAUCGACGGGGAGGUUUGGCACCUCGAUGUCGGCUCGUCUCAUCCUGGGGCUGUAGUAGGUCCCAAGGGUUGGGCUGUUCGCCCAUUAAAGAGGCACGCGAGCUGGGUUCAGAACGUCGUGAGACAGUUCGGUCCCUAUCCGCCGUGGGCGCAGGAAAUUUGAAAGGAGCUGUCCCUAGUACGAGAGGACCGGGAUGGACAUACCGCUGGUGCAUCAGUUGUUCUGCCAAGAGCAUAGCUGAGUAGCUAAGUAUGGAAAUGAUAAGCGCUGAAGGCAUCUAAGCGCGAAGCAUCCCUUAAGAUUAGAUUUCCCAUCACAUUAGUGAGUAAGACCCCAGAUUAGACUAUCUGGUUGAUAGGUCUCAGGUGUAAUAGUAGCAAUACUUUUAGCUUAGGGAUACUAAUAGGUCGAGGACUUGACCAAU
rnacentral:rRNA from 1 species